rnacentral:rRNA from 1 species
AUACGGAGGAUGCGAGCGUUAUCCGGAUUUAUUGGGUUUAAAGGGUGCGCAGGCGGCCAUUUAAGUCAGCGGUUAAAUCGUGGGGCUCAACCCCAUUCUGCCGUUGAUACUGGGUGGCUUGAUUGCGGUCGAGGUUGGCGGAAUUCGUUGUGUAGCGGGGAAAUGCAUAGAUAUGACGAAGAACACCGAUUGCGUAGGCAGCUGACCAGACCGCAAAUGACGCUCACGCACGAAAGUGCGGGGAUCGAACAGGAUUAGAUACCCUGGUAGUCCGCACAGUAAACGAUGAAUACUUGUUUUCGGCGAUAUAAUGUCGGAGGCAAAGCGAAAGCGAUAAGUAUUCCACCUGGGGAGUACGCCGGCAACGGUGAAACUUAAAGGAAUUGACGGGG